GCCUAGGUGGCUCAGUCAGUUAAGCGUCUGACUUCAGCUCAGGUCAUGAUCUCACGGCUGUGGGUUCAAGCCCUGCACCGGGCU
rnacentral:tRNA from 1 species